UAUUCCGCUUCUACAACUGAGGUCUG
rnacentral:sRNA from 1 species